ACCUGUGUGGCUCAGUGGUUAUAGUGUCGGCCUGUACACCGAAGGGUCGCAGGUUUGAUUCCUGGUCAAGGGCA
rnacentral:tRNA from 1 species